CACAUGCAAGUCGAGGGGCAGCGGGGAUCUAGCUUGCUAGAUUUGCCGGCGACCGGCGCACGGGUGAGUAACACGUAUCCAACCUGGCCCAUACUCGGGUAUAGCCUCUCGAAAGGGAGAUUAAUCCCCGAUGUUGUUGUUUCACCGCAUGGUGUACCAACCAAAGAAUUUCGGUAUGGGAUGGGGAUGCGUUCCAUUAGCUUGUUGGCGGGGUAACGGCCCACCAAGGCGACGAUGGAUAGGGGUUCUGAGAGGAAGGUCCCCCACACUGGAACUGAGACACGGUCCAGACUCCUACAGGAGGCAGCAGUGAGGAAUAUUGGUCAAUGGGCGAGAGCCUGAACCAGCCAAGUAGCGUGAAGGAUGACUGCCCUACGGGUUGUAAACUUCUUUUGUUUGGGAAUAAAGUUCAGCACGUGUGCUGUUUUGUAUGUACCAUUCGAAUAAGCAUCGGCUAAUUCCGUGCCAGCAGCCGCGGUAAUACGGAAGAUGCGAGCGUUAUCCGGAUUUAUUGGGUUUAAAGGGAGCGUAGGCGGGUUUUUAAGCCAGCUGUGAAAGUUUGCGGCUCAACCGUAAAAUUGCAGUUGGAACUGGAGACCUUGAGUGUGCAUAAGGUGGAUGGAAUUCGUGGUGUAGCGGUGAAAUGCUUAGA
rnacentral:rRNA from 1 species